GGCUCUAUAGCUCAGUGGUAGAGCAUACGAUUGCAGAUCGUGCGGUCCCGUGUUCGAGCCACGGUGGGGCCU
rnacentral:tRNA from 1 species